CCCUUAGAUGUUCUGGGCCGCACGCGUGCUACACUGAGUGGAUCAGCGGGUCAGGUUGCGCGAAAGUGUUUCCUAAUCUUUAAAUCCGCUCGUGAUGGGGAUUGACGGUUGCAAUUUUCCGUCAUGAACGAGGAAUACCUUGUAAGCGCGGGUCAUCAUCCCGCGCUGAAUACGUCCCUGCCCUUUGUACACACCGCCCGUCGCUCCUACCGAUUGAGUGGUCCGGUGAGGCUUUGGAAUCUGAGCGGAAAGAGCGUUUCGCUGUUUCUGCCCGGAAAACUCAGUCGAACCUUAUCAUUUAGAGGAAGGAGAAGUCGUAACA
rnacentral:rRNA from 1 species